UCGCUGAUAAUCGCGGAUCAGCAUGCCGCGGUGAAUACGUUCCCGGGUCUUGUACACACCGCCCGUCACACCACGAGAGUUGGUAACACCCGAAGUCGGUGAGGUAACCUUUUGGAGCCAGCCGCCGAAGGUGGGACCAAUGAUUGGGGUGAAGUCGUAACAAGGUAGCCGUAUCGGAAGGUGCGGCUGG
rnacentral:rRNA from 1 species